rnacentral:rRNA from 1 species
GAUGAACGCUGGCGGCGUGCCUAAUACAUGCAAGUCGAGCGAACAGAUAAGGAGCUUGCUCCUUCGACGUUAGCGGCGGACGGGUGAGUAACACGUGGGUAACCUACCUAUAAGACUGGGAUAACUUCGGGAAACCGGAGCUAAUACCGGAUAAUAUUUCGAACCGCAUGGUUCGAUAGUGAAAGAUGGCUUUGCUAUCACUUAUAGAUGGACCUGCGCCGUAUUAGCUAGUUGGUAAGGUAACGGCUUACCAAGGCGACGAUACGUAGCCGACCUGAGAGGGUGAUCGGCCACACUGGAACUGAGACACGGUCCAGACUCCUACGGGAGGCAGCAGUAGGGAAUCUUCCGCAAUGGGCGAAAGCCUGACGGAGCAACGCCGCGUGAGUGAUGAAGGUCUUCGGAUCGUAAAACUCUGUUAUUAGGGAAGAACAUACGUGUAAGUAACUGUGCACGUCUUGACGGUACCUAAUCAGAAAGCCACGGCUAACUACGUG